UACGAAGGGGGCUAGCGUUGCUCGGAAUCACUGGGCGUAAAGCGCACGUAGGCGGCUUUUUAAGUCAGGGGUGAAAUCCCGGGGCUCAACCCCCGGAACUGCCUUUGAUACUGGGUGUCUGGAGUCCGGAAGAGGUGAGUGGAAUUCCGAGUGUAGAGGUGAAAUUCGUAGAUAUUCGGAGGAACACCAGUGGCGAAGGCGGCUCACUGGUCCGGUACUGACGCUGAGGUGCGAAAGCGUGGGGAGCAAACAGG
rnacentral:rRNA from 1 species